GACGAACCCGAGCGAACGUUGUUCGGAAUUACUGGGCGUAAAGGGCGCGUAGGCGGCCUUCUAAGUCAGACGUGAAAUCCCCGGGCUCAACCCGGGAACUGCGUCUGAUACUGGAGGGCUUGAAUCCGGGAGAGGGAUGCGGAAUUCCAGGUGUAGCGGUGAAAUGCGUAGAUAUCUGGAGGAACACCGGUGGCGAAGGCGGCAUCCUGGGCCGGUAUUGACGCUGAGGCGCGAAAGCCAGGGGAGCAAACGGGAUUAGAUACCCCGGUAGU
rnacentral:rRNA from 1 species